CUACGGGUGGCUGCAGUGGGGAAUAUUGGACAAUGGGGGAAACCCUGAUCCAGCAAUGCCGCGUGUGUGAAGAAGGCCUGCGGGUUGUAAAGCACUUUCGGUUGGGAGGACUGCUUCUAGCACUAAUAUUGUUGAAAGUUGACGUUACCUUCAGAAGAAGCACCGGCUAACUCCGUGCCAGCAGCCGCGGUAAUACGGAGGGUGCAAGCGUGAAUCGGAAUUACUGGGCGUAAAGCGCGCGUAGGCGGCUAGAUCAGUCGGGUGUGAAAGCCCCGGGCUUAACCUGGUAACUGCAUCCGAUACUGUCUAGCUUGAGUACAGGAGAGGAGAGUGGAAUUCCACAUGUAGCGGUGAAAUGCGUAGAUAUGUGGAGGAACACCAAUGGCGAAGGCAGCUCUCUGGCCUGAUACUGACGCUGAGGUGCGAAAGCGUGGGGAGCAAACAGGAUUAGAUACCCUCGUAGUC
rnacentral:rRNA from 1 species